rnacentral:rRNA from 1 species
UACCAGCACCCCGAGUGGUCGGGGCGUUUAUUGGGCCUAAAGCAUCCGUAGCCGGUUCUACAAGUCUUCCGUUAAAUCCACCUGCUCAACAGAUGGGCUGCGGAAGAUACUAUGGAGCUAGGAGGCGGGAGAGGCAAGCGGUACUCGAUGGGUAGGGGUAAAAUCCGUUGAUCCAUUGAAGACCACCAGUGGCGAAGGCGGCUUGCCAGAACGCGCUCGACGGUGAGGGAUGAAAGCUGGGGGAGCAAACCGG